AGACCACCCUCUCGCGAGGUUCCACGGAUAUCUGAUUUGUGACAACACUCUUGACGGUAAAGAACUCUCUGGGUCGAAAUUUCCCGCCUUCACCUGGGGCUGCAAAACAAACGUGUCUAGAGAGGCCGCGAGAAUUUAGGGUGGAACUAGGAUCAUCCACGAACUCCAUCAUGUGGUCUGUGACUCGGCCCAAGUCACAAGCCGUUUCAUCGCCUGAAAGAGUCAAUCAUGUCAGUCAUGACUCACUAUCCGGCUCACAUUGUUAUUGAUUAUUGAUUCGGCGGAGGGAUACAAAACUAACUACUUAAAAUCCAUAGGUUGAGUAAUGAAAUGAAUUCGACAAAUUCGGAGUUCCAAAUCGGAUUGUUUUCGCCCUGGUUAAAAUGGCUCAUCAAGUAUAAAGCACAAACAGCAAAAUUGGUUUUAACCGAAAUUCUAACUCACAUUGCAAAGACAUCAAAAUAAGGAACGCAAAUACACUUGAUUUACACCGCGCCAAUAUGCCAAACGCUACGUCUUUGAGCGCACAUGCCAUCGUUUACAAAAGCAGCUUGGCACAGGGGGUCUUUGGCACAUUCGUUCCGGCAAUCAUCCGUGUUUCCAGUUUGGAUCCUAUAGUCGCCUGAAAUAUGAAAUAAAAAAU